rnacentral:lncRNA from 1 species
AUGCUCAAAAUUCUCCAAGCCAGGCUUCAGCAAUGCGUGAACCAUGAACUUCCAGAUGUUCAAGCUGGUUUUAGAAAAGGCAGAGGAACCAGAGAUCAAAUUGCCAACAUCUGCUGGAUCAUGGAAAAAGCAAGAGAGUUCCAGAAAAACAUCUAUUUCUGCUUUACUGGCUAUGCCAAAGCCUUUGAUUGUGUGGAUCACAAUAAACCAUGUAACACUCUGAAGGAGAUGGGAAUAUCAGACCACCUGACCUGCCUCUUGAGAAACCUAUAUGCAGGUCAGGAAGCAAUAGUUAGAACUGGACAUGGAACAACAGACUGGUUCCAAAUAGGAAAAGGAGUAUGUCAAGGUUGUAUAUUGUCACCUUGCUUAUUUAACUUCUAUGCAGAGUACAUCAUGAGAAAUGCGGGGCUGGAGGAAGCACAAGCUGGAAUCAAGAUUGCCAGGAGAAAUAUCAAUAACCUCAGAUAUGCAGAUGACACCACCCUUAUGGCAGAAAGUGAAGAGGAACUAAAAAGCCUCUUGAUGAAAGUGAAAGAGGAGAGUGAAAAAGUUGGCUCAAAACUCAGCACUCAGAAAACGAAGAUCAUGACAUCUGGUCCCAUCACUUCAUGGCAAAUAGACGGGGAAACAGUGGCUGACUUAAUUUUUCUGGGCUCCAAAAUCACUGCAGAUGGUGACUGCAGCCAUGAAAUUAAAAGACGCUUACUUCUUAGAAGGAAAGUUAUGACGAACCUAGACAGCAUAUUAAAAAGCAGAGACAUUACUUUGUCAACUAAGGUCUGUCUAGUUAAGGCUAUGGUUUUUCCAGUAGUCAUGUGUGGAUGUGAGAGUUGGACUGUGAAGAAAGCUGAGUGCUUAAGAAUUGAUGCUUUUGAACUGUGGUGUUGGAGAAGACUCUUGAGAGUCCCUUGGACUGCAAGGAGAUCCAGCCAGUCCAUCCUGAAGGAGAUCAGUCCUGGGUGUUCAUUGGAAGGACUGAUGUUGAAGCUGAAACUCCAAUACUUUGGCCACCUGAUGCGAAGAGCUGACUCAAUUGAAAAGACCCUGAUGAUGGUAAAAAUUGAGGGCAGGAGGGGAAGGGGACGACAGAGGAUGAGAUGGUUGGAUGGCAUCACUGACUCAAUGGAUGUGAGUUUGGGUAAAUUCAUGGCGUGCUGUGGUUCAUGGCCUUGA